ensembl:lincRNA
CCUACCAACUCCCUCUCAGAACCUCCAGGUUGCCAAAAAAUAUGCAGUACUGAAACGGCAGCUGAAGGAAAGGCAGGAACCAUGUGCUCUAAGACAGGGACCCUUGAGCUUCUCCCCCAGAACCCUCUUUGUACAACACCUGCCUCAGGAAAAUGGCCCCUAUUCACCCUCAGUGCACUCACCGGCCACAGAGAAAAAUGUAAAACAGGAUGUCCAAAGGCCUGCUGUAAAACCAGAGGAAGAUAAAUGCAUAUCAAAAAUUCAAGUAAGACACUUGAUGUAGAAAAGAAAACAUUUGAAAUACUGUUAGCUGAAGGGUAGUGUGAAGCCACUUUACCGCCACCAGGAAUUCACUUGGAAAGUUAACAGGGGGAGAAAAGCAGUUAGCAUGGUGCUGCUGUGCUCAUUUUACUGGAAGAAGG